UACGAAGGGUGCAAGCGUUACUCGGAAUUACUGGGCGUAAAGCGUGCGUAGGUGGUUCGCUAAGUCUGAUGUGAAAGCCCUGGGCUCAACCUGGGAAUGGCAUUGGAAACUGGCGACCUAGAGUGCGGUAGAGGGCAGUGGAAUUCCCGGUGUAGCAGUGAAAUGCGUAGAGAUCGGGAGGAACAUCUGUGGCGAAGGCGACUGCCUGGACCAGCACUGACACUGAGGCACGAAAGCGUGGGGAGCAAACAGG
rnacentral:rRNA from 1 species